UAUCUCGAAUUAAAUGUCCAGUCUAUUUC
rnacentral:sRNA from 1 species